UAUCGUACUUUCUCGAAGUAUGAGAAGCAUACGUUACAUACCCAGAUAUACGUUACAAACCUACCACAAUAUAAGUCGCCUCACCAUGCUCUGAUCUUCUUCACAUCUCAAUUCUCAUAGAAACCCUUGUGAUCAAAGAGAGAGUGAGAAAUAUAGAAAUCUGUAGUUAAACUCCAAUGGAGGAGAAUAGAGAAAUUCUCAUAUUCACAAACAAGAAGAGAAUCAAACAGCAGCAUGAACAGAAAAGUUUGUGCUCACAACGAAUCAGCGAAUUACCAGAUUUCCACAGUAUGACUCACCUUCAAAUUCCUAGAGCAUUCAUGAAUGCAGCCAGAUGAGGUGGGAGUGUGUAACCAAUGCUUUGCGUUGUUUAAGAUCUGUCCUUAAUGACAUCCAAGAAACAAAAAGGAAAAUGAUUAGAUGUAAUUAAGGAAAUAACAUGAAAGCAUUGGUUCACUUUAACCUGCACAUGCAAUCAAAGAGCUUGAACUCUGCUUCUCAAAAGGAAAACAGUUCAGCUUCUUUGAUCAGAAACGUUGGUGGUGAUGAUUGCAUGUUCAUAUGCUCAAGAUAUCCCAAGAAGGUUGUCAGGCACAACGAAAACUACUGACCAAUUUGCCGAUAUCUUCCAGUAGACCAUAUGAAGCGGGUGAACAAUAUCACUAUCAGAUAAUGUGUACAGUAUGCUUAAUUACUAUGGAUUAUACUAGCUUCAAACCAUUGAUUGUACAUGUUAGGUGCCACUUAGAAGUCAGAUCAGUGAUUUACCAGAUGUCUGCUAUUAUUUUUCACUGCAAUGUGUAGUUUUACCAUCUCUUUAUUUAUUAUAAUGAAAUGAACAAAACAUUGUAUUUAGAAAGGAAGAUCAUGAAUGUCAAAGCCUGAAUUUUAUGGAAUUGAUUUGUAUGUGGAAAGUUGAAAAAAUAGAUCUUCUUAAUCGCAACAGCAUUGAUCUUACUUGCAACAUAUUUUGGUAAGUUUGUUAAAAGAUUGAUUUAGUAUAGAGUUGAAUGGGUAUAUUUUUACUAAAUUCUAAUCUUAAUUUAACUACUAAUUGGUAGUUUCUUUUUAAACCCUAUCAUACUUAAAUUACUUUGGUUUCCUGUUGUUGUGAGGCUAGUUGGACAUUUGAAGUCACUGAAUGAUGAAACUUUUGGCUGAGUCAAAUAAUUUUGAUACUAGUCACUCAGAUUGUAACUUUCUAUAUCAAAGCAUUUUUAAAUUCAAUCCUCAUUUCAUUCUGGUAGUAAAUGAAUGGGAUUUUAGUGCUUCGGACAACACUUUAUUUCAAUGAAAAAUAGAAGUAGGUUUGGAGCUAGAAGGCUUUAAUUAUCAAAAUCUUGUAUGAUAUUUCAGGGACAAAAAUAGAACCUAAAGCUUUGGAAAAUGCUUCAUUUCAAUAUCAUAACAUUUUUCAUUCCAGUAAUGAGUCAAGUUUAUUCAUUAUUUGUAGUGCUGGUUUACCUCAAAAAAAAAAAAAAAAAAAAUGCUAUUUGUAGUGAAGCAUUAGAAAGAAGAUAAAAACAACAAUUAUUUCCUGUCAUUUCUAAAAUGACCCAAGUGAAGGUUUUUAAAGUAGCUUGUGUAGAAAGGAGAAGGGUGCUAGAGAGGUUCUAGAAGUACUUUUGUGAUACAAGGUUCACUUGGUCCAAAUAUUUCACAUAUGGUCACACUGGUAGUGUAGUUUACACAUCUUGUGGUACACUAGUUGAACCUAGUCAUUCGAUGUGGUUAUGGUGGUUAACCUGCAACUUUACAUAGCAUGUUGGCAGUUUGAGCUUAAUCUUUCCAAGUUUCACAAAAUUUAAUCAACUUUUCUUCUUCAAGUUUUUGAAUUUUCUAUAAUGACAUUUCAUAAUGGUUUGGAUAUAGUUUUGGUAAAAUGGCUGCUGGUGCCAAAGUUUCACAAAAGUCAGAUUUUUUUCUCCCAAUUUUUCGUUUGUUCUGUAAUGCUGGCUAUUUUUUAUGCCAUAAUGGUUUUAAUAUAGUUUGGUAAAAUGGCUGCUGGUGCCAGCAAUUGCUUGACACCAGGAGAUUGUCUUGGUGAAUAAACACGUGCAGGUUUAGGAAACGUCUUUGUUAAAUUGGUGAACAAUUUUGUACAUGUGUAUUCGGGAGAUAAUGUUCUUUUUUGCUUUGACGUCAAAUGGAAGUUUUAAUUUAUUUGAUUAGUUAAUGAAAAUCUCUCUCUCUCUCAUUAUUUGAAUUUCUGGAAUGCAAUGAUUGGCACUGUCAAAAGAAAUCUUGUUCUUGGCAAAAAAAGAAGAAGGAAUCUUAUGGUACUUGUAUUAUGUAUUAUUUUGAACACCUAGUGUUCAUUUAUAGUUUCAUGCAUCUCUAUAAAGCAUGAAGUGCACAUUAAUUGAAACUGUGCUGUGUAACCUAGUAAUCUACAAUCAUCUUCCUAGUGAAAAUUGUGCCUUAACUUGAAGAACUGUAUAUUAUUGCAUACACCGAAAGCAGAAUAAAGAUAUGGAUUAUAUGGAACCUUGGUUUAUUUUAUCAGAUUCAAGUGUAUUUUUUCUUUUUUAUGAAGAACAUAUUUGACUUGGUACAACAGUUAUGGAUAGUUCUCUGUAAUGAUGUUGCCUUUUGCAUUAUUGGGACUGAUCUGGACUAUAAUUAUAAGUUUAUAACCCAUCAUUACAAAUAACAUAUAAUCUUCCUAUUUUAGCAUACUAUAACAACUGAAACUCACGCUGGCCUCUCUGUUUCUUUAAUCUUUCUGGUUUGCAUAAUGAUGCUGACGGUAGAUCAGGGGGUAAUUGAAGCAGAAAGAUCAGUAAGACAAGACCAUAUUGUUGUUCUGACAAAACAUGGUAAAAUCAGUUUCAAAGAGAUCGUGUUUGCCUGAACAUGUGAUAUGCGUGGCUCUGUUAGGUAUGCUGGGAAAGCUAAAGUAAGGUCAGGGAGAGAGAGAGAGAUUUUGGAUUUAAGUGUCUUCGAAUUGAGGGUUGAGCCAUGAUUUUUGGCAUAAUAAUACAUAGAGAGAGCUAGUGGCAACAAGACUUUGCAGGACAUAGAGGCAGGGGUCAAGCAAGAUUUGUAGAGCUAUUUCAAUCAAUGUCUAGUUGGUUUGGAAUAUCAAUCACACCAUAGAAAUGUAUUUGAGCACUAAAAAUAUGAAUACAGCAUCCUAGCUUUUAUUUGACUUUAUUGAGUUAAUUUCAGGGAAUAUGAUCCAUCACUCUUGCCGCAUGGAACACUUUUCCCUCAUGUUUGCAUGGCACAUAGUGUCUCUUCAGCCAAAGGUAGAUAUUGGUGGUAGUGCUUGCAGAAAAAAGAAACGAUCUCUCCAAAUAUCCUGCUGGAACUUUAUGUACCUGCAUACCUGGCUGGAACAUCAUGUACCUGCAUACGAAGCCCCAAAGAAGAUGCCCAGCAAUUUUGUUAUAAGCUUAGCCAUGAGGAACUAUCCUCUGUAAUGAAGUAUGGCUUCUAUUUAAGUCUUCUAGACAUUAUAAUUGACUAACUAUCCUCUAGUCAUCUUGCUAGUAUUUUUCUUUGGGUCAUUCAUAGCCAUACAGGAAGCAUGAUGUAGUGGUUAAAGUUUUUGAAGAGUGAAUGGUAUUUAGAGUUCA